rnacentral:rRNA from 1 species
CGAAAGCCUGACGGAGCAAUACCGCGUGAGGGAGGAAGGCUCUUGGGUUGUAAAACUCUUUUCUCAAGGAAUAAGUACUGAAGGUACUUGAGGAAUCAGCAUCGGCUAACUCCGUGCCAGCAGCAGCGGUAAUACGGAGGAUGCAAGCGUUAUCCGGAAUGAUUGGGCGUAAAGCGUCCGCAGGUGGCUGUGUAAGUCUGCUGUUAAAGAGUGAGGCUCAACCUCAUAAAAGCAGUGGAAACUACACAGCUAGAGUGCGUUCGGGGCAGAGGGAAUUCCUGGUGUAGCGGUGAAAUGCGUAGAUAUCAGGAAGAACACCGGUGGCGAAAGCGCUCUGCUGGGCCGUAACUGACACUCAUGGACGAAAGCUAGGGGAGCG